rnacentral:rRNA from 1 species
CAGUCGCCGCGGGAAUACGUAGGUGGCAAGCGUUGUCCGGAAUUAUUGGGCGUAAAGGGCUCGCAGGCGGUUUCUUAAGUCUGAUGUGAAAGCCCCCGGCUCAACCGGGGAGGGCUAUUGGAAACUGGGAAACUUGAGUGCAGAAGAGGAGAGUGGAAUUCCACGUGUAGCGGUGAAAUGCGUAGAGAUGUGGAGGAACACCAGUGGCGAAGGCGACUCUCUGGUCUGUAACUGACGCUGAGGAGCGAAAGCGUGGGGAGCGAACAGGAUUAGAUACCCGUGUAGUCCCUGUCUCUUAUAC